UACGUAGGGGGCAAGCGUUGUCCGGAAUCAUUGGGCGUAAAGAGCGUGUAGGCGGCCCGGUAAGUCCGCUGUGAAAGUCCAGGGCUCAACCCUGGGAUGCCGGUGGAUACUGUCGGGCUCGAGUCCGGAAGAGGAGAGUGGAAUUCCUGGUGUAGCGGUGAAAUGCGCAGAUAUCAGGAAGAACACCCGUGGCGAAGGCGGCUCUCUGGUACGUGACUGACGCUGAGACGCGAAAGCGUGGGGAGCGAACAGG
rnacentral:rRNA from 1 species